GACGAACGCUGGCGGCGUGCCUAACACAUGCAAGUCGAACGGAGAUACGAUUUCGGUUGUAUCUUAGUGGCGAACGGGUGAGUAACGCGUGAACAACCUGACUCUAAGAGGGGGAUAACACUCGGAAACGGGUGCUAAUACCGCAUAAGACCACGACCCGGCAUCGGGAUGAGGUCAAAGGAGCAAUCCGCUGAGAGAGGGGUUCGCGUCCCAUUAGAUAGAUGGCGGGGUAACGGCCCACCAUGUCAACGAUGGGUAGCCGAGCUGAGAGGCUGAUCGGCGACACUGGAACUGAGACACGGUCCAGACUCCUACGGGAGGCAGCAGUGGGGAAUAUUGGGCAAUGGGCGCAAGCCUGACCCAGCAACGCCGCGUGAGGGAAGAAGGCGUUCGGGUUGUAAACCUCUGUCCUUGGUGACGAAACAAAUGACGGUAGCCAAGGAGGAAGCCCCGGCUAACUACGUGCCAGCCGCCGCGGUAA
rnacentral:rRNA from 1 species